UACGAGGGAUGCAAGCGUUAUCCGGAAUUAUUGGGCGUAAAGCGUUUGUAGGCGGGCGAGUGUGUUUAAUGUUAAAUCUUAAAGCUCAACUUUGAAAUUGCGUUAAAAACUGCUUGUCUUGAGUAUGGUAGGGGUAAAGGGAAUUCCCAGUGUAGCGGUGAAAUGCGUAGAUAUUGGGAAGAACACUAAACAGCGAAGGCACUUUACUAGGCUAAUACUGACGCUGAGAAACGAAAGGUAAGGUAGCGAAACGGAUUAGAUACCCGUGUAGUCUUACCCGUAAACUAUGGACACUAAACGGUAAAUUUUUAAUUUACUGUUAAAGCUAACGCGUUAAGUGUCCCGCCUGGGGAGUAUGCUUGCAAAAGUGAAACUCAAAGGAAUUGACGGGGGCCCGCACAAGCGGUGGAGCAUGUGGUUUAAUUCGACGGUACACGAAGAACCUUACCAGGAUUUGACAUGCUAGAUAGUUGCUUGAAAGAGUAACGUGCCGUAAGGAAUCUAGACACAGGUGGCGCAUGGCUGUCGUCAGUUCGUGUUGUGAAAUGUUGGGUUAAGUCCCGCAACGAACGCAACCCUUGUCUUUAGUUAUUUUCUAAAGAGACUGCCUGUAAUAAACAGGAGGAAGGUAAGGAUGAGGUCAAGUCAUCAUGCCCCUUAUGUCCUGGGCUACACACGUGCUACAAUGGGAAAGACAAUGAGCUGCAAAUCUGUAAAUUUAAGCAAAUCUCUUAAACUUUCUCGUAGUUCGGAUUGUGGGCUGCAACUCGCCCACAUGAAGUUGGAAUCGCUAGUAAUCGCCAGUCAGCUAUAUGGCGGUGAAUCCGUUCCCGGGCCU
rnacentral:rRNA from 1 species